rnacentral:misc_RNA from 1 species
CAGCUUCUUCCGCUUACCAGGUACUUAUUUUGCGUCCCACUGAUAAUUUAAUAUCAGAUUUAUUUAGUGUAUCGUCAUUACGAAAUGUUUAUUUUAUAUAUA